GGGGCCUUCCUGGUGCAGUGCCUUCCCGUGGGCUGCGCAGGGCCACUGUGCACAGUGGGGUUGCCAGAGUAGGUAGACCCUCGCACCUCUGAGGCCACAGAGUAGGCCUGGGAUUCAGGCCACCGUGGCCAGGCUUGCCCUUUACGGCAAACCCAGGGGUUCUGUUGAGAUCCCUCUGCCCCGGAGGAUCCUGAGUGGGCUUCAGACGCUGCAUGUCUAACAAGUGCCAGUCCUGUUUGCCACCUUGAGCAGUAGGGUCAGGCUGGCACCACGUGGCUCUGCUGGCUCCCCACGCCACAGAAGGUGGCUCUGUCCAAAGGACUCCUGUUUCCACGAAGGCUCCACGUGAGCCUCCAUGGCAUAGCCCAGGCCAGCCCAGCCAAAGAGUGCCAGGAGCAGGAGAGGGUUCCCCAGGGGCGUGUUCCCAGACUCCCUGGAAACGGCGUCAGGACUGCGUGUGCCUGGGUGCUCUCAAACGUGGCCUCCCUCUGCUGAGUGGCGUGAGAGUCGCUGCCUCGGACGCGUUUGUUGUUUUAAGUAAAUCAUCUAUUUCUGUUGAGCAUUUUGUCAAUUUCUUGGAGAAGAUUACGUUAUUUUACAAUAUUUACUCAUAAAAAUCUAAACUCUAAAUCAGAUGAAUCAUAAAUAUUCAUCUUUUUCCUCCUUUUGAGAUGGAGGCUUGCUCUGUCACCCAGGCUGGAGUGCAGUGGCAUAAUCUCAGCUCACUGCAACCUCUGUCUCCCAGGUUCAAGAAAUUCUCCCUGCCUCAGCCUCCCGAGUAGCUGGGAUUAUAGGCACCCGCAGAGACAGGGUUUCACCAUGUUGGCCAGGCUGGUCUUGAACUCCAGACUUCAGGUGAUCGCCUGCACUGGCGUCUCCAAGUGCUGGAUUAUAGGCGUGAGCCACCAUGCCCGGCCAGUGAGUCUGUUUUGAGUGGACAGGUUGCAGAUUGAGGAAUGUCGGUGAUGCUUGCCCUGUGUGAUCACCUCCACAGUCAAGAUGGAGAACUUUCUACUGCCCCAAAGGCUCCCACGCCCCUCCCAUAUGGCAUUCCUGCCAGAUGUUGCUCUGCUCUGACUUCAGGUCACUUUUUUUUCCUGAGAAAGAGUCUUGCUGUGUCUCCCAGCUAGAGUGCAGUGGUGUGAUCUCGGCUCACUGCAACCUCUGCCUUCUGGGUUCAAGUGAUUCUCCUGCCUCAGCCUCUUGAAUAGCUGGGACUACAGGUGUGCACCACCACGCCUGGCUAAUUUUUGUAUUUUUAGUAGAGAUGGGGUUUCACGAUGUUGGCCAGGCUGCUCUCAAACUCCUGACCUUGUGAUCUGCCCACCUUGGCCUCACGAAGUGCUGGGAUUGCAGGCGUGACCUGCCGCACCCGGCCUUUGAGCUCACCUUGUAGACUUCCCUGUCAACAGAAGCCUGCGGCUCCGUCAUGUCUGUGGCAUUCUUGGCCCUGCUGAUGUUGGUGAGAUUCAGCCAUGCUCCUUGCUUCUGAGUAGCAUUUCAUGUGGAAAUGCGGUGAUUUGUUUAUCCAUUUGUCUGUCUCCAGUUUUUGCUAUUUGAAUAAAGCUGCUGUGAACGUUUGUGUACAAGUCUUUUUGUGGACAUGUUUUUAUUCUCUUGGGUACCUACCUAAGAGUGGAGUUGCUGUGUCGUGUGGUUAAAUGUAUGAACUGUUAUCCAAAAUGCUUGUCCUGUUCGGCGAUCCCACCACCAGUUCAUGAGCUCUGGGGACUCCACACUGCGCCAGCCAGCGCUGGGGCUGUUGGUCUCUUUACCUUCUGCCAUUCUAACGUGUGGGUGGUGGCGUCUCCCUGCUUUUCACGUGUGUGCCCGUGACCACCCUCUCUGUGUGCUGGCCUCUGCUGUGAAGUUCACGUUCAGUUUUUGUCCACCGAGAAGACUGGGUUUGGCCUGUUAGCGCGUGCUCCUGAGUUUCUUACAUCAUCUGGAAACAAGGCUUGGUGAGAUUUAUGUAAAAAUGUCUCUCCCAGUUCAUGACUUGCCUUUUCAUUUUCUUAAUGCUGUCUUUGGAAAAUAGUUUAUAGUUCUGGUGAAAUUCAGUUUACUCAUUUUUUCUUUUGCUUUAUUUUUUGAGACAGAAUCUCAUCUGUCGCCAGGGUGGAGUGCAAUGGCAUGAUCUUGGCUUACGUCAGUCUCCGCCUCCCAGGUUCAAGCGAUUUUUCUGCCUCAGCCUCCCCAGUAGCUGGGAUUACAGGUGCCCGCCACCACGCCCAGCUAAUGCUUUUUUGUAUUUUUAGUAGAGAUGGGGUUUCACCGUGUUGGCCUCAAUCUGUGGACCGCGUGAUCUGCCUGCCUCAGCCUCCCAAAGUGCUGGGAUCACAGAAGUUUCAAGGUCUUCGCUUUUAUAUUCACAUAAAAUUUAAAGUGUCCCCUUUGAAGACGGCGUCUGCGUGAGGUGCGAGGCGAGGGUAGAGGGUCACCUUCCCGAAGGGAGAUCCCACUUGUUCAGCGCUGUCUGUUGGACGGUCCUUUGCUGCCUGGAUUGCCUUGGCAGCUCUCUGCAGAGCAUGGACCGUCCACGCCCGAGUCUCCCGGACUCUGCUCCGUUGUGCUGCUCCGUGUGACAUGCCUGGUGUCCCAGCACAUCAUCUUGAGUGCUGUAGCUCUGUGCCGAGUCCUGACCUCAGCAGUGUAAAUCCUCCAGUGGUGUUCAAAUGGUUUUCGUUGUUUCAAGCCUUUCACGUUUCCAUUUUUAGAAUCAUCUUGGAGUUUUUACUAAAAAAGCUGGCUUGGCGUCUCA